rnacentral:rRNA from 1 species
AGCCUUAAGAUUUAUUUAAGGUGUUACCUGCCCAGUGCUAGUUAGUAAAUGGCCGCAGUACCUUGACUGUGCUAAGGUAGCAUAAUCAGUUGGCUUUUAAAUGGAGUCGGGAAUGAAUGGAUUUAUAGGGUAAAGCUGUCUCUUCUAUAUUAAAUUGAAUUUAUUUACUAGGUGAAAAUACCUAGCUUUAGAAAAAAGACGAGAAGACCCUAGGAGUUUUGAUUAAUGGUUAUAGUAUAACUUACAUUUUUGUUGGGGCGACGUGGGAAGAAUGUAACAACUUCCUUUAUUGAAUUUGCCGACUAAGUAUGGCAGUUUAAACUACCCUAGGGAUAACAGCGUAAUUCUUUUUGAGCUUGCGACCUCGAUGUUGGACUAGGAAUUUGUUGGGCUAGCCGCCUAAUUUUAUUGUUCUGUUCGAACCAUUUUUCCU